ensembl:snRNA U6 U6 spliceosomal RNA
GUGCUCGCUGCAGCAGCACAUGUACUAAAACGGGUAUGAUGCGGAGUUUAACGUGGUCCCUGCACAAGGAUGACAAGCAAAUUAGUGAAGUGUUCUAUACUCUU